rnacentral:rRNA from 1 species
GUAGGGGGCGAGCGUUGUCCGAAGUUACUGGGCGUAAAGCGCGCGUAGGCGGGGAAUUAAGUGAGAAGUGAAAGGCUGGGGCUCAACCUCAUGCAGUGCUUCUCAUACUGGUUCUCUUGAGGGCGGUAGAGAGAAGUGGAAUGGCUGGUGUAGCGGUGAAAUGCGUAGAUAUCAGUCGGAACACCGGUGGCGAAGGCGGCUUCUUGGGCCGUUCCUGACGCUGAGGCGCGAAAGCCAGGGGAGCGAACGGGAUUAGAUACCCCGGUAGUCCUGGCCGUAAACGAUGGAUACUAGGUGUUGGGGGUAUCGACCCCUCCAGUGCCGCAGCUAACGCAAUAAGUAUCCCGCCUGGGGAGUACGGCCGCAAGGUUG